CGCUUAGGCCUUUACUUUCAUAUAAACCAAUCGCAUAAGACUUGAGAAUAAAUUAAUUUUUGGUUUGAAUGCAAGACAUAAGUAAACAUGCAAGAUGCAAUGAAUCAGUUUGUUAAAGAAACUAUGAAUGAAUGGAGUUGUUAGGGUUUACAAUUUCAUCUUAUCCACCCUCUUAUAUCUACUUUUCUUAUCUAAUUUGCUUAUUUAUCAAUUUGUCAUGCAAACUUUCUUGGUCUACCCUUAACCCAAUUCCUUGGCGAAAAGAGCCUAUUACUAAUUACUGGCUUGCUAUUCCUAGCCUCCCCUAGUAAUUAAUAAUGCAUGAUAAACAGAAGCAAAAUACAAUUGAUCGUCGUACCCCUAUUCCUAGGCGGUAUUAGCAUAAUGAAGGACUUCCCCCCA
rnacentral:lncRNA from 1 species